UCGAUCUGUGUGAAAGUAAAGGCCAACUAAACCGGCCCAAAAGCUAGCGCAGCCAAGAUCGCCUGGUCAUCCUUCUCCAGGGAUGGCAUGGUGCUUCCCGGUCUAUCCAUCGCUGAUGUGUUGUGUAAGACCUAAAAUUGGUAGAAGAAAAAGAAGUAUAUCAUAAACUAAUAAAAUAAAGAAAUAAUAAUAAUUAUGAUAGUGGUUCUGAAAUUUUUAGAAACCCUAGUAAUUGUUGACUCAGAGGGAGGUAAGAGAAGAGAAAAAUCGGGCUGAGAACGCCGUGGCAACCUCUCGCCACCACUACAGCUCGGGGUCGGUCAACUGGGUUGGGGGAGCUUCGGCCGAUCCCUGGGAAGGUUGGGAUAGCAUCACGGUUGUUGAAGGGUCCGCGGGGUGCCCUGAAUUGCUCACCAGUGCGUACAGAUCACCACCGACCGCCGCUCGCUGUGGUCAGGACUGUUCGUGUUACCAACCUUGGUAAGAUAUCCAUCCCCUUAUUCGCAAUCUGCUCUGCUCUGAACUGCGGCUGCCGGUGUGGUGUUUUGUGUCAGAAUCGUGCGGGGGUAGGACCAAUCAGCAAUGGUGCUGCCGCGAGGGCGGGCGCGCCGCCGUCUUCGUCUUGAGGGAGGAAGGGAUACUGUGGAGCGUUG
rnacentral:lncRNA from 1 species